rnacentral:rRNA from 1 species
UACGUAGGGUGCGAGCGUUGUCCGGAAUUAUUGGGCGUAAAGAGCUUGUAGGCGGUCUGUCGCGUCUGCUGUGAAAAUCCGGGGCUCAACCCCGGACUUGCAGUGGGUACGGGCAGACUAGAGUGUGGUAGGGGAGACUGGAAUUCCUGGUGUAGCGGUGAAAUGCGCAGAUAUCAGGAGGAACACCGAUGGCGAAGGCAGGUCUCUGGGCCACUACUGACACUGAGAAGCGAAAUCAUUUGGAGCUAACAGG